rnacentral:lncRNA from 1 species
GUGAGAGGCCUUGAAAGCCUAACUGGGAGGGCUGUUUCCUCUGCAGUGCAGAUACAGCUCUUGUGAACAUUGUAGAUCAGUUUAUUUUUCAUUCUUUUCUCCACAGAAGCUAUAAAAGCCGGAGAGCAUCCCUCUUCCAGAGUAGUCUGCAGUUUGGAGAUACCCUGGGAAAGAAAGAGGCACAGAAUCCAGGAGAAAAGAUGAAAAAUCAUCUCAUGCUUUCCAGAAAUUCUUCCGGACGGUUCUUCUUUUUUACUAUGUGACAACACCUCUAGUGAAUUGAGCAAAACUGUUGAAUGGAUCCACCUGCUGUUUGAACAAAAAAGACAGAUAAAGGACAUGAUACCUAUGCCUUCUUACAGUCAAUGCAGGAGGUGUCUGAUCUAUGAAACAACCUGUGUGAAGGUUGUGUGUAAAGCAGUGCUACCACCACAAACUUGGCCAAGAUGUCUUUCUUCUGAGAACCAGGGCCCAUGUGUGGAAGUUGUACGUCUCUAAAGAGCACAG